GAUGUAAGCAUCUUCCACACUGAGGAGAGAAUGGCCGUUCCACUCAUGAGGGGGAUGAAAAUGGAAAAGAUGUAAGAAACCUACACAAGGAGAUAAGAUGAGUCUUCUGAGUAGACACUUAACUAACUUGUUUCCUGGAGGAACAGAGUCUGCCUCCAACUCGGCACUGAAAUAUCCCAGACUGUAACUCGGCAUUCAUCGGCAGAGCAUUUACUUCAUCUUCUUAAGCAAGUUUAGCUGAGAGAACUCAUUUGAAGUUCAUGUGAGUCCUUCCAAAAUUCAAGGAAAAAAUGUUUUUUAAAAGCCAACAAUCUGUAUUAGAAUGUAUAUAUACUUAUAAAAAAAAAUCACAGAAUGCCACUGUGUAGCUAAUGGCUUCAUCUGUGAUUCCAGAAUGGCAAUUGCAUUGUGUGAAUAUUUAAAAGUAAGGCAUUCUGCUAGCUCAUGCCAAAAUAUAUAAAUCAUUUGGAGAUAGAAUGUUGAAUGGAUUUAAACUUGAUAGAUUUAGACAUAUGUUUCUAAUGGAUUGUUCAACCUAAUCCUAUUUAAUGUAACUCUUGAAUGUUGCUUGAAUAUGACCACGUGCAGUGAUUUCUAGAAUAUAUCAUAUACCUCUUCCCAACCCCACCCUCACUGCCCCCUAUACCUAAAUGCCAACUCCACACAGUUCCAAAUCUUGAGCAUAAUAUACAAGAGCCCCAAGGACCUUUCCAGUUUUAUGUCCUGUUGCUACAUA
rnacentral:lncRNA from 1 species